UACGAAGGGGGCUAGCGUUGCUCGGAAUCACUGGGCGUAAAGGGUGCGUAGGCGGGUCUUUAAGUCAGGGGUGAAAUCCUGGAGCUCAACUCUGGAAUUGCCUUUGAGACUGAGUGGCUUGAGUACGAGAGAGGUGAGUGGAAUUCCCAGUGUAGAGGUGAAAUUCGUAGAUAUUGGGAAGAACACCGGUGGCGAAGGCGGCUCACUGGCUCGUAACUGACGCUCAUGCACGACAGCGUGGGGAUCAAACAGG
rnacentral:rRNA from 1 species